rnacentral:snoRNA from 1 species
AUUCCAUGAUGAGGGCAUUUCCGUAACAGUUCUUUAAAUCUUUCCCAUGCCUCAUACAAGGAGUUGUCAUCCAUCUGUUGAAAAAUAGUGAUUUCAUUCUGCAACU